UACAUACAUAAAAUUACUAAAGUGCAACUCAAAUGAGGAGUUAGCUUAGAUUUCAAACAUUCAUAAUUAAAUCAAUUAUACUUAAGAUAAAACAUUUAUCAAUAAUCUUGAAUAUUAGUACAAUAACUAUCCCUUUACAAUUUCUAUGUCCAACUAAACAUAACAUACAUAGAGAAAUUCUACAACUAUUCCUACUGCUUGUUCUCCAAAGAACUUUUCUAUUUCUAUGCUCUUGCAUUUGGAGUUAAAGGAAAGGGGUAAGCUUACACAUGCUCAAUAAGUAAACUAACCAAAAUAAAUUAAUUAUAUCAUUCAUUUGAUACAUAUGCAAUGCAUCAUCCAA
rnacentral:misc_RNA from 1 species